CGGGAGCAGGGGCUCAGGCAGGCCCGGUUUUCCAGAGCGUCCUAAUGACCCAGAUGUGCAGCUGCGGAGAUGGCUGCUUGGGGAACUGCAAAUCAUCAGGCCCCUGGCGGCCCCUCCCUUGGACAGGUUUAACACUCAGAAUGUCCUGGAGAGGGAGAGACCCAUGCUGUCCCCGUGGGUCAGAUUGACUCAUUCAUUCACCAACAUCUACUGAGCACCUUCUCUGGGCUGGCCUGUGCCGGGUGCUGGGGAGAUCAAGACAGGAAAGUGCCUGCCCCACGUGGACAAAGACGUUCUUGGACCUGCGAGCGUGCAAGUAAGGAAGAGAGAAAUCAGCAGGGUAGGGGUUGGGAGAGGGCAGUCAUGAGGGCCUCUCCCAGGAGAUGACAUGAACCUAAAACCCAAGUGGUGAGGAACCACCAAAACUCCGAGGUGUGUUCCCCAAGAGGGAAACUGAGGCAGCAAGACUGGCAGCGGCACGACAAGAUUCAAACCCAGGCCAGCGGACACCAAUCCCAGCAGGCUGUAACGGGGAUGGCAGCUGCCUCCAGAGGCUGUUGUAUGAGGGGUCAGAAGUAACGCUGCCAGCUGUUGGUACCACGCCCGGCAACAGGGACUCUCCAGCAGGCCUUGGCCCGCGGCCCCCUCUGUCUCUGCAGCUGCCUCAUUCCCUCUGCGUCUCCCGCCCUGGACGGCAAGUCAUCCGGAGCAGGGCCUGUCUGACCCGUGCACAGUGCCCCAGGUGCCUGGCCCACACCAGCUCCCACUAAGUGCUAUGGCUGAAGAAGCUGAGUAAAUGGUGACUUCUGGAG